GACGAACGCUGGCGGCGUGCCUAAUACAUGCAAGUAGAACGCUGAAGGAGGAGCUUGCUUCUCUGGAUGAGUUGCGAACGGGUGAGUAACGCGUAGGUAACCUGCCUGGUAGCGGGGGAUAACUAUUGGAAACGAUAGCUAAUACCGCAUAAUAGUAGAUGUUGCAUGACAUUUGCUUAAAAGGUGCAAUUGCAUCACUACCAGAUGGACCUGCGUUGUAUUAGCUAGUUGGUGAGGUAACGGCUCACCAAGGCGACGAUACAUAGCCGACCUGAGAGGGUGAUCGGCCACACUGGGACUGAGACACGGCCCAGACUCCUACGGGAGGCAGCAGUAGGGAAUCUUCGGCAAUGGACGGAAGUCUGACCGAGCAACGCCGCGUGAGUGAAGAAGGUUUUCGGAUCGUAAAGCUCUGUUGUAAGAGAAGAACGAGUGUGAGAGUGGAAAUUUCACACUGGACG
rnacentral:rRNA from 1 species